CAUAGGUUAAUGAGGCGAACCGGGGGAACUGAAACAUCUAAGUACCCCGAGGAAAAGAAAUCAACCGAGAUUCCCCCAGUAGCGGCGAGCGAACGGGGAGCAGCCCAGAGCCUGAAUCAGUGUGUGUGUUAGUGGAAGCGUCUGGAAAGGCGCGCGAUACAGGGUGACAGCCCCGUACACAAAAAUGCACAUGCUGUGAGCUCGAUGAGUAGGGCGGGACACGUGGUAUCCUGUCUGAAUAUGGGGGGACCAUCCUCCAAGGCUAAAUACUCCUGACUGACCGAUAGUGAACCAGUACCGUGAGGGAAAGGCGAAAAGAACCCCGGCGAGGGGAGUGAAAAAGAACCUGAAACCGUGUACGUACAAGCAGUGGGAGCACGCUUCGGCGUGUGACUGCGUACCUUUUGUAUAAUGGGUCAGCGACUUAUAUUCUGUAGCAAGGUUAACCGAAUAGGGGAGCCGAAGGGAAACCGAGUCUUAACUGGGCGUUAAGUUGCAGGGUAUAGACCCGAAACCCGGUGAUCUAGCCAUGGGCAGGUUGAAGGUUGGGUAACACUAACUGGAGGACCGAACCGACUAAUGUUGAAAAAUUAGCGGAUGACUUGUGGCUGGGGGUGAAAGGCCAAUCAAACCGGGAGAUAGCUGGUUCUCCCCGAAAGCUAUUUAGGUAGCGCCUCGUGAAUUCAUCUCCGGGGGUAGAGCACUGUUUCGGCAAGGGGGUCAUCCCGACUUACCAACCCGAUGCAAACUGCGAAUACCGGAGAAUGUUAUCACGGGAGACACACGGCGGGUGCUAACGUCCGUCGUGAAGAGGGAAACAACCCAGACCGCCAGCUAAGGUCCCAAAGUCAUGGUUAAGUGGGAAACGAUGUGGGAAGGCCCAGACAGCCAGGAUGUUGGCUUAGAAGCAGCCAUCAUUUAAAGAAAGCGUAAUAGCUCACUGGUCGAGUCGGCCUGCGCGGAAGAUGUAACGGGGCUAAACCAUGCACCGAAGCUGCGGCAGCGACGCUUAUGCGUUGUUGGGUAGGGGAGCGUUCUGUAAGC
rnacentral:rRNA from 1 species